UCAGUAGGUAGCUAAAGGUUAGUACUGGUAUCGGUGCUCAGUAUCAGUAGGUAGCUAAAGGUUAGUACUGGUAUCGGUGCUCAGUAUCAGUAGGUAGCCACAGGUAAGUACUGGUAUCGGUAUUCGGUAUCAUUAGGUAGCAAAAGGUUAGUACUGGUAUCGGUGCUUAGUAUCAGUAGGUACCUAAAGGUUAGUACUGGUAUCGGUGCACAGUAUCAGGUAGUUAAAGGUUAGUACUGGUAUCGGUGUAGCUAAAGGUUAGUACUGGUAUCGGUGCUUAGUAGCUAAAGG